CAGUCGCCGCGGUAAUACAGAGGGUGCGAGCGUUAAUCGGAUUUACUGGGCGUAAAGCGUGCGUAGGCGGCUUCUUAAGUCGGAUGUGAAAUCCCUGAGCUUAACUUAGGAAUUGCAUUCGAUACUGGGAAGCUAGAGUAUGGGAGAGGAUGGUAGAAUUCCAGGUGUAGCGGUGAAAUGCGUAGAGAUCUGGAGGAAUACCGAUGGCGAAGGCAGCCAUCUGGCCUAAUACUGACGCUGAGGUACGAAAGCAUGGGGAGCAAACAGGAUUAGAUACCCAGUAGUCCCUGUCUCUUAUACA
rnacentral:rRNA from 1 species